UUUAUACAGGAAGAAACCCCACUGACGUGUUGGUGGCUGACGGUACUGUAAGAAUAAAGACCGGCUAACUCCGUGCCAGCAGCCGCGGUAAUACGGAGGGUCUAAGCGUUAUCCGGAAUCAUUGGGUUUAAAGGGUCCGUAGGCGGGCUAAUAAGUCAGAGGUGAAAUCCCACAGCUUAACUGUGGCACUGCCUUUGAUACUGUUAGUCUUGAGUCAUAAUGAGGUAGAUGGAAUGUGUAGUGUAGCGGUGAAAUGCAUAGAUAUUACACAGAACACCGAUUGCGAAGGCAGUCUACUAAUUAUGUACUGACGCUGAGGGACGAAAGCGUAGGUAGCGAACAGGAUUAGAUACCCUGGUAGUCUACGCCGUAAACGAUGGAUACUAGCUGUUGGUUUGACUUCGGUUGAAUCAGUGGCCAAGCAAAA
rnacentral:rRNA from 1 species